AAUAGAUACCCUGGUAGUCCACGCCGUAAACGAUGAGUGCUAAGUGUUAGAGGGUUUCCGCCCUUUAGUGCUGCAGCUAACGCAUUAAGCACUCCGCCUGGGGAGUACGGCCGCAAGGCUGAAACUCAAAGGAAUUGACGGGGGCCCGCACGAGCGGUGGAGCAUGUGGUUUAAUUCGAAGCAACGCGAAGAACCUUACCAGGUCUUGACAUCCUCUGACAACCCUAGAGAUAGGGCUUUCCCCUUCGGGGGACAGAGUGACAGGUGGUGCAUGGUUGUCGUCAGCUCGUGUCGUGAGAUGUUGGGUUAAGUCCCGCAACGAGCGCAACCCUUGAUCUUAGUUGCCAGCAUUCAGUUGGGCACUCUAAGGUGACUGCCGGUGACAAACCGGAGGAAGGUGGGGAUGACGUCAAAUCAUCAUGCCCCUUAUGACCUGGGCUACACACGUGCUACAAUGGAUGGUACAAAGGGCUGCAAACCUGCGAAGGUAAGCGAAUCCCAUAAAGCCAUUCUCAGUUCGGAUUGCAGG
rnacentral:rRNA from 1 species